rnacentral:tRNA from 1 species
AUCUAUUGUAGUUUAUAAAAAAUAUUAUCUUGUGGUGUUAAAGAAGGCAAAAAAUUUUGAUCAUAGAUA